rnacentral:rRNA from 1 species
UACGUAGGGUGCGAGCGUUAAUCGGAAUUACUGGGCGUAAAGCGUGCGCAGGCGGCGCGUUAAGACAGGUGUGAAAGCCCCGAGCUUAACUUGGGAAUUGCGCUUGUGACUGGCGUGCUGGAGUGUGGCAGAGGGAGGUGGAAAUUCCACGUGUAGCAGUGAAAUGCGUAGAGAUGUGGAGGAACACCGAUGGCGAAGGCAGCCUCCUGGGCCAGCACUGACGCUCAUGCACGAAAGCGUGGGGAGCAAACAGG